CCUACGGGAGGCAGCAGUGGGGAAUAUUGGACAAUGGGCGGAAGCCUGAUCCAGCAACGCCGCGUGAGGGAUGACGGCCUUCGGGUUGUAAACCUCUUUCAGUACCGACGAAGCGAAAGUGACGGUAGGUACAGAAGAAGGACCGGCCAACUACGUGCCAGCAGCCGCGGUAAU
rnacentral:rRNA from 2 species